ACAAUGGUUCGGUUGAUCCAGUACGAAAAUACGAAAGCGAAUCUCGUGAGAAAUUUGCAGUUACUCCGUUGGUUGUCGUUGCAGUGAUUUUGAUCU
rnacentral:ribozyme from 1 species